GGUAAUGUGGCAUAGUGGUAGAGUGCUUGCCUAGCAGGCAUGAAGCCCUGGGUUCAAUUCCUCAGUACUA
rnacentral:tRNA from 1 species